rnacentral:lncRNA from 10 species
ACCAGCAACUGCGGAAUGUUUUGUGUCUCCAGUUUCAAAUUUCGCGGAAAGGGACCAAAUAGUAUUGUCAGAAAAUCAUUUCGAACUGAAAUUUUCAUUCAAAAAUAUUUAUUGAAUGCCGGCUAUGUGCUGAAGAUUCUUAAGAUACAUCAGUGAACAAAUCAAAGUUCCCUGCUUUCUUGGAGCUUGCAUUCCAGCGGGAGGAGAGGAUUUGGAGGAAGAAUGGGAUAGACAAUAAAUGUAAGUAAUAAAUUAUAUAGGACUUUGAAAGGUAAAAUGUUUGGGGGAAAAACAUAAAAUAGGGUAAAGGAUAUAGGUGGGGUGAGGGUUGUCCUGAUGCUGUAUUAAAUAGGAACAUCAGAGUAAGACUUGUUGAAAAGGGAGAUUUCUGCCAUGGUUUGAAGGAAAUACCUGGAGAUAUCUGGAGGACAGAGCUUUUCACAUGGAGGGAACAGCCAAGAUACAGCUCCAAUACCUGGAAUUUUUAUAGACAUCAAUGGGAAUGGUGUGGCUAGAAUAAAAUGAGACAGCCAGUGAACAGAAGGCCUCUCAGGUCACCGUAAGAAUUCCAGAAAAGCUUCAUAAAAGGCAAAUUUUGGGCCUUUAUCACUCAGCCCCAUGGAAUCUGAAUCUUUGUGGGCCCAGGACUCUGCAUUUUUAACAUGUAAAGCAAUUGUUACUUAUGUAUUCUAAAGCACAAGACCUCCUGCCACAGAGCAUGGGACCUGAUAUAUCCAGGCAGGAGAACUGGGUACCAGGAGACACUGUACAUGAAGUUUCCAGAACCAGCCAUGUCCAUCUUACUAAUCAAGACUCUCUCUGUUAAAUCUGCAACUCAAAUGACUUUAAGGAAAAAUGGAUUUCAUUGAUUCACAUAACCAUCACUCAAGGACUAACUUUCAACAUAGUGAGAUCCUGAGGCUCAAAUAUUAUUACCCGGGUUCCAUGAACUGCUUCCUCUGACAUGAGAUCUAACAAGGCUAAAGACUAAAAUGCAGCUGUUUACAGCGUAAGUAGGAGGCCGUCCCGUGCAGUGCAAAAUCAACAGAGAGGAGACAGUCCUAUGCCUUCGAGAGACAGUCUGCUGAUACUGUCAUGAUGUCUAGUGACAGGCCAGAGAUCAAAACCCAACACCCUCAUUUACCUGACAGUGAUUUGGCCAAU